UACGAAGGGGGCUAGCGUUGCUCGGAAUUACUGGGCGUAAAGCGCACGUAGGCGGAUUGUUAAGUCGGGGGUGAAAUCCUGGAGCUCAACUCCAGAACUGCCUUCGAUACUGGCGAUCUAGAGUCCGGGAGAGGUGAGUGGAACUGCGAGUGUAGAGGUGAAAUUCGUAGAUAUCCGCAAGAACACCAGUGGCGAAGGCGGCUCACUGGCCCGGUACUGACGCUGAGGUGCGAAAGCGUGGGGAGCAAACAGG
rnacentral:rRNA from 1 species